rnacentral:tRNA from 1 species
AAAAUCCUGACUUUAAAAAUCGUGAGGGUUCAAGUCCCUCUAUCCCCA